rnacentral:tRNA from 1 species
AGCUAAGUGGUAGAGUGUUUGCCUAGAAUACAAGAGUCCCUGGGUUUGAUUCCCAG